rnacentral:tRNA from 1 species
AUGGGACUCAGUGGUAGAGUACUUGCCUGGCAUGCAUGAGGCUCUGGGUUCCAGCCCAACAU